rnacentral:SRP_RNA from 1 species
GCCAGGCACAGUGGCGCAUGCCUGUAGUCCCAGCUACUCAGGAGGCUAAGGCUGGAGGAUGACUUGAGCCCAGGGGUUCUGGGCUGUAGUGCGCUAUGCCAAUUGGGUGUCCACACUAAGUUUGGCAUCAAUAUGGUGACCUCUGGGGAGGAGGGGACCUGCCCAGGUUGGAAACGGAGCAGGUCAGUACUCCUGUGCUGCGCAGUAAUGGGAUUGCACCAGUGAAUAGUCACUGCACUCCAGCCUGGGCAACAUAGCAAGACCCCAUCUCU